rnacentral:rRNA from 1 species
UACAGAGGUCUCAAGCGUUGUUCGGAUUCAUUGGGCGUAAAGGGUGCGUAGGCGGCGUGGUAAGUCGGGUGUGAAAUCUCGGAGCUUAACUCCGAAACUGCAUUCGAUACUGCCGUGCUUGAGGACUGGAGAGGAGACUGGAAUUUACGGUGUAGCGGUGAAAUGCGUAGAGAUCGUGAGGAAGACCAGUGGCGAAGGCGGGUCUCUGGACAGUUCCUGACACUGAGGCACGAAGGCCAGGGGAGCAAACGGGG